UCGGGAAUUUUGGGCAAUGGGGGAAACCCUGACCCAGCAACGCCGCGUGAAGGAUGAAGUAUUUCGGUAUGUAAACUUCGAAAGAAUAGGAAGAAUAAAUGACGGUACUAUUUAUAAGGUCCGGCUAACUACGUGCCAGCAGCCGCGGUAAUACGUAGGGACCAAGCGUUGUUCGGAUUUACUGGGCGUAAAGGGCGCGUAGGCGGCAUGACAAGUCACUUGUGAAAUCUCUGGGCUUAACCCAGAACGGCCAAGUGAUACUGUCGCGCUAGAGUGCAGAAGGGGCAAUCGAAAUUCUUGGUGUAGCGGUGAAAUGCGUAGAUAUCAAGAGGAACACCUGAGGUGAAGACGGGUUGCUGGGCUGACACUGACGCUGAGGCGCGAAAGCCAGGGGAGCAAACGGGAUUAGAUACCCUCGUAGUCCCUGAGCGGGCUGGCAAGGCGCAU
rnacentral:rRNA from 1 species